CAGUUCAAAGAUCCUUCCAAGCAAUCCCCUGACAUAUGCUUCUCGUUGCUGGUCAUACAGUAGCCACUGCUGAUUUUUCUCAAGAGCCUUCAUAAAAAGAAACAGAAGAACAACAAAAAAGUCUCUGAGAAGCUGGGGAGAAGCCAGAGACCUCGAUGCUUCCCUGGGAUAACAGGAAGACUGUAAUCAUCUGGGAAAUCGUGCAGACCUGUCUACAAGCACAAGGAUAAACUGCCUGAUUUUCUGAGCCUGAUCCCCACUACAGUGAGUAUGACUUAUGAGUAGGAGACUUCUUGAGACCCAUCUAAAACUGGAGAGCAGUUAUGCAGUCAUGUUUCUCCCACUCUGACAUGGAUCUUCUCUGCAGGAUACAAGGUGGUUAUGAAAUUGUGUAGAUAUAAGUCAGAGGGAACUUCAAUGAGGAAAAAAUAAAGUAGAUUACUACCCAAAUCCAAACUACAUUUUUUCCAACAUUUUCCUAUGGAUCUUGGAACAUGAUUUACAACAGAAUUUAUAGCUAAAAAAUACAGAACUUUGAAUACAAUUAUUAAACUUAAACACUUCAUAAUAAAAAUAAGAUUUAGAGACACUGAACUUGUUUCUAUGAACAUCAGAGUCCUGCCUUAGUAAAAACUUUCUCAAAAUUGUGUCAUAAAACCGUUGUUUCCAUUUCAGAUCUAGUAUGCCACCUAGCAGUUUCAAGCAACAUUGCUAGACUUGUUUUCAAGUUCUCCAAGACAUCCAGUAAAACAUCAUUGUCCUCUGUUGAUAAAUCAGUUAAAAUCUUAAAAGAAAACUAUGGUUUUAAACUAAUACAUAUUUUGGUGGUUUAUUGACAAAAAUAUAAUGAAAACCUGUUGACUUAAUACACAUUUUAACACCUCUAAUGAAGUUCAAAAUUUAAAAUAAAUAUGUUGCAUUUAAAGUGGCAUUUCUCAAUAAACUGCAUUAUUAGAA